CCUCAUAUUGAUGUUGCUUUCCUUUAAAAGCCGUGCCAUCUGCCACCGCCCCCCUAAAGAUUUGGGUUUCAGCACACCAUGUGCAGCCAUAAAUCAGCAGUAAAAGAGAAGGAUUAGGGGGCUUCAGACCACAGUGUGAGAAUGCUAAAGUGCCGUGCGCAGCCAGCGCGGAGCCCGCGAUUAGAUCACUCCGCGUUUAUAUAUUCCUGGAUGAAUACGCUCCUCCAGGUGUAGCCGAAGUCGCUCCGCUCUUCGCCGCAGCGUCCACGGAUCAAAUAUGACGUCCUCCAGGGGCAAGAUGGCAGUACACCGUGACAGUUGUGCAAGUGGGAAGCCGGUGGUGAAGGAGAAGGCUGCUUUCAUCCUUGCAGCAACAGAUGGGGCUGUUUCAGCUGAACCAGAUCUAUCCACUCCUGAAAAGAGACCCCCCCCACCCC